rnacentral:misc_RNA from 1 species
UGGUUCUUCCUGGGCCCUGGCAC